GAAAUGCGAUAAGUAAUGUGAAUUGCAGAAUUCAGUGAAUCAUCGAAUCUUUGAACGCACAUUGCGCCCGCCAGUAUUCUGGCGGGCAUGCCUGUUCGAGCGUCAUUUCAACCAUCAAGCCCCGCGCUUGUGUUGGGGACCUGCGGCUGCCGCAGGCCCUGAAAACCAGUGGCGGGCUCGCUGUCACACCGGGCGUAGUAGAUUUUAUCUCGCUCAGGGCGUGCUGCGGGUUCCGGCCGUUAAAAAGCCUUUUUUACCUAAGGUUGACCUCGGAUCAGGUAGGAAGACCCGCUGAACUUAAGC
rnacentral:misc_RNA from 1 species